rnacentral:lncRNA from 1 species
GGUAUAAAGACAUUCUUGUAUCCAUGUGGGACAUUUCCAAAGAUUGCUACUGUUGCAACCAAUAGGCCAAUAUGUAAGUUACUGAAAUGGGAUGAUAUUAUUUUAUCAUGAAUUUUUUUUUCAGUUAAUUUUAGUUUUUUUUCCAGCUUGUGCAGAAGUAUGUAAUGAAUUUAUGGCCUAUAUAUGUUGUCCGGGUGCGG